GUAUAAGAGACAGCAGUCGCCACGGUAAUACGAAGGGUGCAAGCGUUACUCGGAAUUACUGGGCGUAAAGCGCACGCAGGCGGUUUGUUAAGUCAGAUGUGAAAUCCCCGGGCUUAACUUGGGAACUGCAUUUGAAACUGGCAAGCUAGAGUCUUGUAGAGGGGGGUAGAAUUCCAGGUGUAGCGGUGAAAGGCGUAGAGAUCUGGAGGAAUACCGGUGGCGAAGGCGGCCCCCUGGACAAAGACUGACGCUCAGGUGCGAAAGCGUGGGGAGCAAACAGGAUUAGAUACCCCAGUAGUCCCUGUCUCUUAUAC
rnacentral:rRNA from 1 species